GGUUAAGCGACUAAGCGUACACGGUGGAUGCCCUGGCAGUCAGAGGCGAUGAAGGACGUGCUAAUCUGCGAUAAGCGUCGGUAAGGUGAUAUGAACCGUUAUAGCCGGCGAUUUCCGAAUGGGGAAACCCAGUGUGUUUCGACACACUAUCAUUAACUGAAUCCAUAGGUUAAUGAGGCGAACCGGGGAACUGAAACAUCUAAGUACCCCGAGGAAAAGAAAUCAACCGAGAUUCCCCCAGUAGCGGCGAGCGAACGGGGAGCAGCCCAGAGCCUGAAUCAGUGUGUGUGUUAGUGGAAGCGUCUGGAAAGGCGCGCGAUACAGGGUGACAGCCCCGUACACAAAAAUGCACAUGCUGUGAGCUCGAUGAGUAGGGCGGGACACGUGGUAUCCUGUCUGAAUAUGGGGGACCAUCCUCCAAGGCUAAAUACUCCUGACUGACCGAUAGUGAACCAGUACCGUGAGGGAAAGGCGAAAAGAACCCCGGCGAGGGGAGUGAAAAAGAACCUGAAACCGUGUACGUACAAGCAGUGGGAGCACGCUUAGGCGUGUGACUGCGUACCUUUUGUAUAAUGGGUCAGCGACUUAUAUUCUGUAGCAAGGUUAACCGAAUAGGGGAGCCGAAGGGAAACCGAGUCUUAACUGGGCGUUAAGUUGCAGGGUAUAGACCCGAAACCCGGUGAUCUAGCCAUGGGCAGGUUGAAGGUUGGGUAACACUAACUGGAGGACCGAACCGACUAAUGUUGAAAAAUUAGCGGAUGACUUGUGGCUGGGGGUGAAAGGCCAAUCAAACCGGGAGAUAGCUGGUUCUCCCCGAAAGCUAUUUAGGUAGCGCCUCGUGAAUUCAUCUCCGGGGGUAGAGCACUGUUUCGGCAAGGGGGUCAUCCCGACUUACCAACCCGAUGCAAACUGCGAAUACCGGAGAAUGUUAUCACGGGAGACACACGGCGGGUGCUAACGUCCGUCGUGAAGAGGGAAACAACCCAGACCGCCAGCUAAGGUCCCAAAGUCAUGGUUAAGUGGGAAACGAUGUGGGAAGGCCCAGACAGCCAGGAUGUUGGCUUAGAAGCAGCCAUCAUUUAAAGAAAGCGUAAUAGCUCACUGGUCGAGUCGGCCUGCGCGGAAGAUGUAACGGGGCUAAACCAUGCACCGAAGCUGCGGCAGCGACGCUUAUGCGUUGUUGGGUAGGGGAGCGUUCUGUAAGCCUGCGAAGGUGUGCUGUGAGGCAUGCUGGAGGUAUCAGAAGUGCGAAUGCUGACAUAAGUAACGAUAAAGCGGGUGAAAAGCCCGCUCGCCGGAAGACCAAGGGUUCCUGUCCAACGUUAAUCGGGGCAGGGUGAGUCGACCCCUAAGGCGAGGCCGAAAGGCGUAGUCGAUGGGAAACAGGUUAAUAUUCCUGUACUUGGUGUUACUGCGAAGGGGGACGGAGAAGGCUAUGUUGGCCGGGCGACGGUUGUCCCGGUUUAAGCGUGUAGGCUGGUUUUCCAGGCAAAUCCGGAAAAUCAAGGCUGAGGCGUGAUGACGAGGCACUACGGUGCUGAAGCAACAAAUGCCCUGCUUCCAGGAAAAGCCUCUAAGCAUCAGGUAACAUCAAAUCGUACCCCAAACCGACACAGGUGGUCAGGUAGAGAAUACCAAGGCGCUUGAGAGAACUCGGGUGAAGGAACUAGGCAAAAUGGUGCCGUAACUUCGGGAGAAGGCACGCUGAUAUGUAGGUGAGGUCCCUCGCGGAUGGAGCUGAAAUCAGUCGAAGAUACCAGCUGGCUGCAACUGUUUAUUAAAAACACAGCACUGUGCAAACACGAAAGUGGACGUAUACGGUGUGACGCCUGCCCGGUGCCGGAAGGUUAAUUGAUGGGGUUAGCGCAAGCGAAGCUCUUGAUCGAAGCCCCGGUAAACGGCGGCCGUAACUAUAACGGUCCUAAGGUAGCGAAAUUCCUUGUCGGGUAAGUUCCGACCUGCACGAAUGGCGUAAUGAUGGCCAGGCUGUCUCCACCCGAGACUCAGUGAAAUUGAACUCGCUGUGAAGAUGCAGUGUACCCGCGGCAAGACGGAAAGACCCCGUGAACCUUUACUAUAGCUUGACACUGAACAUUGAGCCUUGAUGUGUAGGAUAGGUGGGAGGCUUAGAAGUGUGGACGCCAGUCUGCAUGGAGCCGACCUUGAAAUACCACCCUUUAAUGUUUGAUGUUCUAACGUUGACCCGUAAUCCGGGUUGCGGACAGUGUCUGGUGGGUAGUUUGACUGGGGCGGUCUCCUCCUAAAGAGUAACGGAGGAGCACGAAGGUUGGCUAAUCCUGGUCGGACAUCAGGAGGUUAGUGCAAUGGCAUAAGCCAGCUUGACUGCGAGCGUGACGGCGCGAGCAGGUGCGAAAGCAGGUCAUAGUGAUCCGGUGGUUCUGAAUGGAAGGGCCAUCGCUCAACGGAUAAAAGGUACUCCGGGGAUAACAGGCUGAUACCGCCCAAGAGUUCAUAUCGACGGCGGUGUUUGGCACCUCGAUGUCGGCUCAUCACAUCCUGGGGCUGAAGUAGGUCCCAAGGGUAUGGCUGUUCGCCAUUUAAAGUGGUACGCGAGCUGGGUUUAGAACGUCGUGAGACAGUUCGGUCCCUAUCUGCCGUGGGCGCUGGAGAACUGAGGGGGCUGCUCCUAGUACGAGAGGACCGGAGUGGACGCAUCACUGGUGUUCGGGUUGUCAUGCCAAUGGCACUGCCCGGUAGCUAAAUGCGGAAGAGAUAAGUGCUGAAAGCAUCUAAGCACGAAACUUGCCCCGAGAUGAGUUCUCCCUGACCCUUUAAGGGUCCUGAAGGAACGUUGAAGACGACGACGUUGAUAGGCCGGGUGUGUAAGCGCAGCGAUGCGUUGAGCUAACCGGUACUAAUGAACCGUGAGGCUUAACCUU
rnacentral:rRNA from 1 species